UGCGGUGAUGAGGCAUGUUACAAUCUCGUUAAUCUGACGAUUUGUGAGGAAAGAACAAUACCAUUCUCAACAGCUUCUGAGC